GCGGAAGUGUCGGAAUCGGCAGACGAGCAAGACUAAGGAUCUUGUGGGCAUCGCGCUCGUGUGGGUUCAAGUCCCAUCUUCCGCA
rnacentral:tRNA from 1 species